ACAGUUACCUGCAGAGCACACCAUGAUCACGAAGGUGGUUUUCCCGGGCAAGCCCUUCCGCUGUCCUCCGGAUGUGCUGACUCCUGUGAUUUCCCCAAAUGGGGAAAACUUGACUGUAUAGUUUGUGGUAGUAGAGGACUGCAUCCACACUCUCCCUAC